AUGAACAUCACAUGCAUAAUGAAAAUAGGGAGAGAAUCCAAAUGGAGCAAAACAGAAUCAACAAAACAGCAUUGUGGUGGGUGUGGGGGAAAACAGGGAUGGUGGCACUGACUGGAGCAAUAAGCAUGAAGCUUUCUAAUGUUUGAACCAUUUAGAUUCCGUAACAAGAUUUGAUGAGGAAGAGAUAUGAGAAGCUAUAGAAGCUGAGCUCAGAGCACCUAAGGAGAGACGUGGACCUCCCUUGAGGAUCUUCACUCAAAGUUUUGGUCUUUUUGCAGUCUCACGGGGUAAAAUGCAACAUUUUAAAGCACAGAAAAGGAAAUUUAUGGCAACAGAGUACACAUGCACACAAUCUUUCAAUUUAGUUUUAUAUAUUAAAACAGUUGCAAGUUAGCCAGAUGAACUCUUGGCAAACAGUUUGCCCAAUAGUUUCCCCCUUAAAAAAAUAGGAUGACUACAUAUUGCAGGGUAUAGAAGGCUAAUUUUGCAAUCAAAUAAGCAUGGCUAUAAUGAUAGAUGCUAAACCCUGAUCCGUGGAGGCAGAUCCCCCCCUGUUCCUGUGCAGAGGCCAAAUUACUUCCAUGCAACUUUAAGGGUCUGCCUAUCUGCACCAUAUUGCACAACUGGGGCCAAGACUUGACCUCUUAAUCCUGCAGCUACAAUUAGCUGCAAAUACAAACUUAGAGUUUUUGAACAUUUGGACUCUAAGCCUAACCUGAACUGGGCAAAUAAUUUGAGGAAUUUCACCUCCCUCUUUUAAAUUAUUUGCAGAUAAUUUGCUCAGUUUUGUCUGAAAUUACUCAUUUUGGGCAACAGCACUUUUUUUUAAUACCCGUUUCAUGAGUCUGAAUGUUCAGACUGUUUUGACGACGCAGAUCACGUGGCUCAUUUCUGUGCAUUGACUGGAAGUUUUUUGAAUUAAGUUUCCAGUGCAAACACAAUUCAAAUUUUCUUUCUAUACUAUUCAUUUAAAAUGAGCUAAUCUCAAACUUUUAUUUGCUAUAAUAUUCACAGAAAUGAAAACCAGUCGUGAACACAGAUCAAACAAAUUAAUUUAAAACCUGUUAUAGAAAUCUUGCAGAAUUUUUGAAAUCUUAACAUUUGUGGCAUAAUUAAAUGCUUGCUCUUUUCAGAAUGACACUUUACUGAGACAGACCAACUCAUACAUUAAAGUAUUUCCAGGUACACUAAAUACAUUUGGAGAGAAUUUUGAAUAUGAACUCUGACAGCCCAAUGGGAAAUACUUUAGACUAUUAUUAGUCUGUCUUCUCUAUCUGUGUCCUAGCAACUAGCACAUUAUUACAUGAGUAAAGUUAUGCAUGUGCUUAAGUGGUUACAGGACUGAAGCCUAAAUAUGGGUAAGAUGUCACUUUCUGGCAUUUAAAUAAAAUUGUAUAAUUUUAAAUUUUAA